rnacentral:rRNA from 1 species
UACGAAGGGAGCUAGCGUUGUUCGGAAUCACUGGGCGUAAAGCGUGCGCAGGCGGCUUGGCAAGUCAGAGGUGAAAUGCCGGGGCUCAACCCCGGAACUGCCUUUGAAACUGCCUGGCUAGAGUACUGGAGGGGUUAGCGGAAUUUCUAAUGUAGCGGUGAAAUGCGUAGAUAUUAGAAGGAACACCAGCGGCGAAGGCGGCUAACUGGACAGUAACUGACGCUCAUGCACGAAAGCGUGGGGAUCAAGCAGG